rnacentral:sRNA from 1 species
UUUGUAUUAUAGCAAAGCGAUAAAAUACAUAUUCAUAAUGCAGACUGUGCGUAGUGCCAUCGGAGAGGUUCAUGAGUCGCUGUCGCUGGUUCAGGUUGAGGAAGGACCCACCAUGAAUGCUGAGUCUAUGGAGGAUGCACUGAUACGGAUAUGGCUGAAGCUUUGCUUUCUCUUUGGCGAAUUUAUCGAAGUGAUGAUGCACUUUGGCGGCCAAACAUCACCGGAACAAAAAAACGAAACACGAGUCGAAAUCGAAAAUCAUUCGGAUAACGAUGCAUAAACGUUUUGACUUCACAAUCAAAAGGUGUUCGAUAUUUUGGCUCUGUUAUCAAAAUUUUUAGUUCUAGGUAAUGUUUGGCUAUUUGGCUCUGUUGGCCCGCAGAUAAUAAAGGAGAAACACGUCCCGCCAUGGAGAUUGUCCACAGAUGUAUUGGGGCGAUGGGUGUGAUUGCAUUAUAUGUUGUACUGACGCAAAUGACGACGCAGGUGGUCGCCAAUGCCACGCCCCAAUUGAGUCAGUUUAUCAGUAAUCGCACAACGCUCGUGAAUCGUAUUUCGCACGCACGUAGCAUCCACUUAACGGAUAAUGAACAGUUCCGUAAUGCAUGCGCUUCUGUGAAGAAAACUGGUCGUCGUCUGUAUAAUAUCCUUGAAAUGUAUGCUUCAACCAGUGCUUGAUGAGUUACCUAUGGCACUCUGUAAGUGUGAACAAUAGCGUUGGAUCAGGCCACAAGGGAGCGUGCAUAUAUGUAUAUCAAGAGACUCAUCUUGAGCCACAGUGGAUCCAAAGCACCAACUGACUUCAAUUGCAGCUGAGAGAACAAGGACAAACGCAGCGUGUAAAUCGAUGAAUCCAAUAUAUAUAAAUAUACAUAUAUAUAUAUAUAAAGUAUUUUACAUACAUAUAUAUAUAUAUGAAUACAUAUAUAGUCGAUCAAAGCAUGCACAGUUUGUAAAGCAAAGUUGGCUACGAUUUUGUUCUCUGAAUCGAAACUGGCUUUGCCCUCUCAGCUGUGAAUUCAGUUUCGUAGUUGAGCUCAUUCGCUUUCGAUCUUUCGGCUUGUGAACAUAACAAAUGAAAUAGGAAUUUUUUAGAAAUUUCAUUUGUUCCGGGUAAUAUUCACACAUAUUUUUAGCUGCAAAGAAAGCAUAAUAUUCUCAAGUAGAGUUUUGACGUGUGUGCAUAUAUAGAAUUUUAAUAUGUAUAUCGUUUGCAAAUUCGAUCCUUUCUAUGUUGGACCUUGCCCACCCGGCUGCCUAGUGCCAGCAGGAGGCUGUGCCAGCUGUCGUAAUUGCUGUGGAGGCUGCUGUGGUGGCGGUUGCUGCUAAGCGAUCAUUAUAGCGAGAUUAUAGCGAGAUUAUUUAAGCAAUUUGCCCUUUUAUGCUAUCUUUGAUGGAGACACAUGUGACAAGUAAACGAAACUCUGGACAAGGCUGAAGAUGUGUGUGUCUAUUUCAACAUCUGCCUAAAUGUUCAAUUUAAAUUCUCAGUAUUAAAUAUGUUAUAAAUUUA